GACGAACGCUGGCGGCGUGCCUAAUACAUGCAAGUAGAACGCACAGUUUAUACCGUAGCUUGCUACACCAUAAACUGUGAGUUGCGAACGGGUGAGUAACGCGUAGGUAACCUGCCUGGUAGCGGGGGAUAACUAUUGUAAACGAUAGCUAAUACCGCAUAAUAUUAAUUAUUGCAUGAUAAUUGAUUGAACGAUGCAAUUGCAUCACUACCAGAUGGACCUGCGUUGUAUUAGCUAGUAGGUGAGGUAACGGCUCACCUAGGCGACGAUACAUAGCCGACCUGAGAGGGUGAUCGGCCACACUGGGACUGAGACACGGCCCAGACUCCUACGGGAGGCAGCAGUAGGGAAUCUUCGGCAAUGGACGAAAGUCUGACCGAGCAACGCCGCGUGAGUGAAGAAGGUUUUCGGAUCGUAAAGCUCUGUUGUAAGGGAAGAACGGGUGUGAGAGUGGAAAGUUCACACUGUGACGGUAUCUUACCAGAAAGGGACGGCUAACUACGUG
rnacentral:rRNA from 1 species